rnacentral:rRNA from 4 species
GGGUUGUGAGGUUAAGCGACUAAGCGUACACGGUGGAUGCCCUGGCAGUCAGAGGCGAUGAAGGGCGUGCUAAUCUGCGAUAAGCGCCGGUAAGGUGAUAUGAACCGUUAUAACCGGCGAUACCCGAAUGGGGAAACCCAGUGUGACUCGUCACACUAUCAUUAACUGAAUCCAUAGGUUAAUGAGGCGAACCGGGGGAACUGAAACAUCUAAGUACCCCGAGGAAAAGAAAUCAACCGAGAUUCCCCCAGUAGCGGCGAGCGAACGGGGAGGAGCCCAGAGCCUGAAUCAGCAUGUGUGUUAGUGGAAGCGUCUGGAAAGGCGCGCGAUACAGGGUGACAGCCCCGUACACAAAAGCGCAUGUGCUGUGAGCUCGAUGAGUAGGGCGGGACACGUGGUAUCCUGUCUGAAUAUGGGGGGACCAUCCUCCAAGGCUAAAUACUCCUGACUGACCGAUAGUGAACCAGUACCGUGAGGGAAAGGCGAAAAGAACCCCGGCGAGGGGAGUGAAAAAGAACCUGAAACCGUGUACGUACAAGCAGUGGGAGCACCCUUUGGGUGUGACUGCGUACCUUUUGUAUAAUGGGUCAGCGACUUAUAUUCUGUAGCAAGGUUAACCGAAUAGGGGAGCCGGAGGGAAACCGAGUCUUAAC